rnacentral:snRNA from 1 species
GUGCUCGCUUCAGCAGCACAUAUACUAAAACUGGAAUGAUACGGAGAAGAUUAGCAUGGCCCCUGUGCAAGGAUGACAUGCAAAUUCGUGAAGCGUUCCAUAUUAAA